CAAGGGUUGUCAGAUCAGAAACAGAAUGACACACAAACACAAGAAACUUCACAGGCAGAUCAACAUGCAAUUUGAAGACGUGUGAUAAAAUACAGAGAGGUGAAGUAGUGUGUCUUUCCAGAUCCCCAAAUCAUUCCCCCUUAAAAGAUGAGCCUGAAGAGGAGAUUUGGGAACAUGCUGUUUCAUAAGUCGCUUUGCCAGAUCACCUGUGGUCGGGAUGUCUGCUAACAAGAUGCCUUGCUGGUCUGAGCGAGUUUAAAGGCUUACACAGACAGUCCAGAAGUUCUGAAGUCCAUCUUCGAUUUCAUUGGUAAGGGACUACACAAAAGGCUGUUUGACCCACACGUAAAGCAACCUGUCAGUGUUUGCUUUGUUAAGCAUCUC